rnacentral:rRNA from 1 species
UACGUAGGGGCCAAGCGUUGUCCGGAUUUAUUGGGCGUAAAGAGCUCGUAGGCGGUUGGGUAAGUCGGGUGUGAAAACUCCAGGCUCAACUUGGAGAUGCCACCCGAUACUGCUCUGACUUGAGUUCGGUAGGGGAGUGGGGAAUUCCUGGUGUAGCGGUGAAAUGCGCAGAUAUCAGGAGGAACACCGGUGGCGAAGGCGGCUUCCUGGACCGACACUGACGCUGAGGCGCGAAAGCUAGGGGAGCAAACGGG